rnacentral:rRNA from 1 species
ACGGCCAUACCAUGCUGAAUAUAUCGGUUCUCGUUAGAUCACCGAAGUCAAGCAGCAUUGGGCGCGGCCAGUACUUGCGGUGGGUGACCCACUACAAA